UUUCAGUAAUAUGGUGUGAGAGUGAGUUCCUUCGUCCCUCGGUCACCUGCAAAUUGCCAAGCCUUUCGCCGCCUUCUACUACUCUCCAAAAUCCUCUCUUUUUUACUUCUCUCUCUAAAUCUUCUUUACAUUUUCGAGAAGUACAGUUUAGUUUUUCUUGGAGCUCAAAAACCCAAGUUGGGUUGGGUUUAGCUGUGAAGAUUUCUACUUUUAUGGAAUGCUAUGUAGAGCAUGUGGAAAAUCAAAUAUUGGUGCUUCCAAGAAUUUAUUUUUUUUAUCUUUGAGGAAAAUACUAGUUCAAGAAUAAGAUUUUCCUGUAGAAAGUUGGGUGUUUUUUUUCUUCUUUGGGUGAGAGCUUUGUACUUAGUGAGUUGAUCUUGGAGCUGAGUUUUACUUUUGGUGUGUUUUGAAGAGGUGUGGCAGGGUUCCUAAUAAUGCUAGAGUGCCCAAACAUAGAUCAAUUCUGAGUAGCAGUUAUCACACUUGUUCAUCAUGCCUCUCUCUGAGUUUUUGAAAAUGACUAGAGGGAAGCUUGAAUCUGGCCAGCAGAAGAUCUCAGCUACCACAAAUCCGUCUUCUUUUGCUGAGAAUGACUUGGUUGAGCUUAAAUGGCAAAAUGGUGAGAUUGUGAUGCAAGGACAGUCCAGUAGUGCUAAGAAAAGCCCUGUUCGUAAUAAUCUUCCAUCGAGUGUCGACAAGUACGGAAAUUCAUCAACCUCUAAGAUUGGGAAGUUUGGUCUGAUGGACACUAUGUUGAAUGAUAUGUCGUUAUCUGUGCCCACUGGUGAAUUAGAUUUGAUUCAAGAGGAUGAAGGGGUGCCUUGGUUAGGUUAUUCAGCAGAUGAGAGUCUGCAACAAGAUUAUUGUUCUCAACUAUUACCUGAAAUAUCUGGUGUGACGGCAAAUGAACAAUCCGGACAGAGUGUAUUUGGUUUAAUAAAUAAGAGAGGUAGUUCUGACAAGAUGAUUGGGGAUUCACAUAGUGUUCCUGUUCAUAAUGCUGUGAAUUAUGAGCAAAGAAAUACAUCCAAGUUUUCUCCUUCUUCCAGAUUUAGCCUGUUAAAUUCAAUGACAUCUCAGAAAGGUCAUGCGUCAAUUCCUACCCUAGAAUCUGGAGUUCCAGAUUUCUUUAGCAGUAAAAAUAGCAAUACUCCAAUGUCUGUUUUGGGGGAUUCAAAUCAAAGUCAAGCUUCAGCUGGUGAUGUUAAAAGCAAUAAAAUUCAAAAGCAAAAUAUGCCUGGAAAUAGGUCCAAUUUGUUGAACUUCUCACAUUUCUCAAGACCUGCUACAUUUGUUAAAGCAGCUAAGCUUCAAAAUAUUACUGGAGGUUCAAAUGUCUCAGGUUCAUCUAUCUUAGAAGCAAAGGGGAAAAAGGGAGGAGAAAAAGUGACAAUGGGUGAAAAUCAUGUUAGUGCUGCAGCAGCUGAAAACUACUUAACUUCCAAGAAGGAAAAUGUUCCCCAUUAUCCAAAUAAUGCGGUAUCUUCCCAACUCGAGUCAAGACCAUCUGGAGCUAGCUUUCAUGAUAGAUCAUGUCAGGUUGAACAGUCUGAUGUUGCAUUCAGAGAUUGUUCAAGUAAUAAUGACAAUAUCCGUGAUCAAUUUACUGGUGCAAAGGCAACCAAGGAUAUUGCCGAUGGUGAGAGAAAUGUUGAACAUGGGUUUGCUUGCUCAUCUGUAUGCUCUGGUAGCAGUGCAGAGAGAGGAUCAAGUGAUCAGCCUCUUAACCUAAAGAGGAAAACCCGAGAUAAUGAGGAGUCCGAGUGUCGAAGUGAAGAUGUUGAAGAAGAAUCUGUUGGUAUAAAAAAAACUUGUGCUGCUCGAGGAGGUACAGGUUCAAAGAGAAGCCGAGCUGCAGAAGUGCAUAAUUUAUCUGAGCGGAGACGAAGGGAUAGGAUUAAUGAAAAGAUGCGUGCAUUACAGGAACUAAUACCCAACUGCAACAAGGCGGAUAAAGCUUCAAUGCUUGAUGAAGCUAUUGAAUAUUUGAAGACACUUCAACUGCAAGUACAGAUAAUGUCUAUGGGAACAGGGUUUUGUGUCCCCCCAAUGAUGUUCCCUACAGGAGUGCAGCACAUGCAUGGAGCCCAGAUGCCACAUUUCUCCCCAAUGAGUUUAGGGAUGGGUAUGGGAAUGGGGAUGGGAUUUGGGAUGGGUAUGCUUGAGAUGAAUGGUAGAUCUUCUGGCUACCCUAUUUAUCCUGUGCCUUCUGUGCAAAGAGGGCAUUUUCCCUCACCUCCUAUUCCUGCUUCCACCGCUUAUCCAGGAAUAGCUGUAUCUAAUCGUCACGCCUUUGCACAUCCUGGUCAAGGACUUCCUAUGUCAAUUCCUCGAGCAUCUCUGGGUCCUUUGGCAGUGCAAUCAUCAACUGGUGCUGCUGUCCCUCUUAAUGGUGCAAGGGCAGGAGUUUCCCUGGAGAUACGGAGUGCACCACCGUUUUUGGAAUCCAAAAAGCCAGUACACAAGAACUCACAGAUGGUCCAUAAUGCUGAACCUAGCUGCACACAAAAUCAGACAUGCAGUCAGGUACAAGCAACAAAUGAAGUUCUGGACAAAUCAGUGCAAAAAAAUGACCAAGUCCCUGAUGUCACUGAUAGUGCAGCAAUAACUUGACCAACCGAACAAAUGUGCCUGGAAAUGAAGCUGCUAAUAACUUGACCAACCGAACAAAUGUGCCUGGAAAUGAAGCUGGUCCCAGUUUGUAGACAACUGUAUGUUCUGAGCAAUGUAGGUUUGGUUUCAUCUAAGGGAAGAAGUCAUUUUCUCGUUUAGUGGAAGGUAGCUCCUUUUAACUCCAACCGGUGUGCAGUUCUGAGAAUUGGUAGAGUUCCAGAAUGAAGUUGGUUUUUGUAACUGCCAUCUGAAUGUAGACAAAUGCACAGAUUUUGGUAAUGUAAAGAGAGACCAUAAUUUUCUCCUUCCAAUGUACAUCAAAAGCAGGGAGCAGGCUUCUUCCUGGCAUCUCAACAGUGUAAUGUGUACCAGACAUAUCAACAUUCUUCAAAUAAUAAAAUAGCGCAAGCAUUUAUCAUA